rnacentral:rRNA from 1 species
GACGAACGCUGGCGGCGUGCUUAACACAUGCAAGUCGAACGGUGAAGCUCCAGCUUGCUGGAGUGGAUCAGUGGCGAACGGGUGAGUAACACGUGAGCAACCUGCCCCUGACUCUGGAAUAAGCGCUGGAAACGGCGUCUAAUACUGGAUACGAGAAGGGUCCGCAUGGGCACUUUCUGGAAAGUUUUUCGGUUGGGGAUGGGCUCGCGGCCUAUCAGCUUGUUGGUGAGGUAAUGGCUCACCAAGGAGACGACGGGUAGCCGGCCUGAGAGGGCGAACGGCCGCACUGGGACGGAGACACGGCCCAGAAUCCUACGGGAGGCAGCAGUGGGGAAUAUUGCACAAUGGGCGAAAGCCUGAUGCAGCGACGCCGCGUGAGGGAUGACGGCCUUCGGGUUGUAAACCUCUUUCAGCAGGGAAGAAGCGAAAGUGACGGUACCUGCAGAAGAAGCACCGGCUAACUACGUGCCAGCAGCCGCCGCCG